rnacentral:rRNA from 1 species
UACGUAGGUGGCAAGCGUUUGUCCGGAUUUAUUGGGCGUAAAGAGUUCGUAGGCUGUUUGUUAAGUCUGAUGUUAAAGACUGGGGCUCAACCUCGGAAAUGCAUUGGAUACUGGCAGACUGGAGUGCAGUAGAGGCUAGUGGAAUUCCCAGUGUAGCGGUGAAAUGCGUAGAUAUUGGGAAGAACACCGGUGGCGUAGGCGACUAGCUGGGCUGUAACUGACGCUGAGGAACGAAAGCCAGGGGAGCGAAUGGG